CCUUGUUUCAUUUAUAAUUAUAUGAUGACGUGGCAUGUUCUAUGGGACGUAGGCCUCCCAAAAGGUAACGGAGGCGUGCAAAGAUUUCCUCGGGCCAGACGGACAUUGGUCCUCGAGUGCAAAGGCAGAAGGGAGCUUGACUGCAAGACUCACCCGUCGAGCAGAGACGAAAGUCGGCCUUAGUGAUCCGACGAUGCCGAGUGGAAGGGCCGUCGCUCAACGGAUAAAAGUUACUCUAAGGAUAACAGGCUGAUCUUUCCCAAGAGUCUACAUCAACAGGAAGGUUUGGCACCUCGAUGUCGGCUCUUCUUGCAUGUUGGGAUAUUUUUUUGGCAGAAUGACUCUCUUAGUAUAUUGGAUUAAAUAGAAAUGCAUGUUAGUU
rnacentral:rRNA from 1 species